AAGGUCAAGGGCGGAAGUUUCCUUAUUUACACGCUAACCAUUUAACAGUAGUAUUCCACCAAGUCUUCCACGGACUGCCACGUCGAGAUCCGUGACGACAAGGCCUCUUCCCCAGGUUCCGGUGAGCACAGCAAGACAAAUCAUCACUUGGUCGUAAUGAGGCAGCUUAAAGGCAAGCCGAAGAAAGAAACCUCUAAGGACAAGAAGGAGCGCAAGCAGGCAAUGCAAGAAGCCCGUCAGCAGGUUGCUACUGUAGUCCUGCCCACACUGGCUGUAGUGGUCUUACUUAUCAUCGUCUUUGUCUACGUGGCCACCAGGCCUGACGCUAUUGAGUAGACACUAAAGAAGCAUCUACUUCCCAACUGUUGUGGCAAAUUGACUUGGUUAUAUCGAAAGGAUUGACCCUAUCAUGUGAUGACCAUCCUUGUGCAGGCCAGUUACUGGGCCUAGGACUAUUGUUUAUUUUAAGGAAACCCUUCUUCAAAGUGUGUCUUCAUGCUGCAAAAAGAAGAAAACAUUGCUCCUUGGUGCCUUCAAAUGUAUGAGGGUAAAACCACAUUUAAUCUUGGUUGUUAGAGUUACAGCCACUGAUGGAUUUGUGUGUAUGUUUUACAAAACAGUGCACUAUCCUGCGUACCAAAGUACUUAUGCAGAGCUUUCAAAAUGUGACCACAGGUGUUUAAUGUCUAAAAUGUUCAAUGUAAAACAUUGGUCUUGUGACUUGUGCUGUUAAAAAUAUUUCAAAUCAAUGCAAACAAGGUCCCAGGCCUUUACCACACUUUAGACAUAUCUCACAUUUACAGUAUCUGUAAAAAUAUGUGUGACAUGUUUAGAAUAAUUCUUGCGCCUACCUUAUGUGAAUGUCACUGUGAAAUAUUUUAUUUUAAGACCAGUAGGAUCACACAUGCAUUUCUUCAUCUUCAAAAUGUUUAGAAACCUGAUCCGCAAAGUCAUUGACAUCCAAACAUUUGAGUCAUUCAUGACUUGUUCAAAGUGUAACAAAGUGCCUUAUAAGAGAUUUGCAUUUUUGCAAAUAAAGAGGUAAAACACAA